rnacentral:rRNA from 1 species
UACGUAGGGACCAAGCGUUGUCCGGAAUCAUUGGCGUAAAGAGCGUGUAGGCGGCUUGUUAAGUCUUGCGUGAAAUCUCGGGGCUCAACCCCGAGCGGUCGUGAGAAACUGGCAGGCUAGAGUGCGGGAGAGGAGAGUGGAAUUCCUGGUGUAGCGGUGAAAUGCGCAGAUAUCAGGAAGAACACCCGUGGCGAAGGCGGCUCUCUGGAACGCAACUGACGCUGAGACGCGAAGCGUGGGGAGCAAACAGG